rnacentral:misc_RNA from 1 species
CUUUAUUGUUUGUUUCACAUGAUUAACAAGAAUCUUGCGUUACGGUACAGAGGUCUUUCUCUCUUUAUUCCCUAAUCUCCUUCGUGUUCGAUGCAAAACUGAAGAAACAGCCUAACUGAGUCUCGAUUUCUGCGAUCUGUGUUUUUUAUCUGGUUGAGGAAAAGGAAAAUUUUGGUUUCUUUUUUUGUUGAAUCGAAGAAGAUAGAGAGACAGAGAGAGGAUAUGGUGGGAUGAGGUUGAACAGGGAGGGAAGGUGGAGAUGGCGAGGGGAGUCAAAUGGUUAUGCUCGUACAAGAGAACCACUCUUAUAGUUUGCUCCAUCAACAUUGUUGUUGCUCUUUAUGUUCUUCGCUCUCUAUAUGGCUCACUCUAUAUUUACUCCAAUCGUGAUUUAAAUAACGUUGUAAAGUACACACCGGAUCAGAUUAGUAGGAUGGAGGAAUCAAUUCGGAUACGAAAAGCCAAUGAACCUCUACAGCUUGUUAAAUU